AGUGAACGCUGGCGGUAGGCCUAACACAUGCAAGUCGAACGGCAGCACAGGAGAGCUUGCUCUCUAGGUGGCGAGUGGCGGACGGGUGAGGAAUACAUCGGAAUCUGCCCAGUCUUGGGGGAUAACGUAGGGAAACUUACGCUAAUACCGCAUACGACCUUCGGGAUAAAGAGGGGGAUCGCAAGACCUCUCGCGAUUGGAUGAGCCGAUGUCGGAUUAGCUAGUUAGCGGGGUAAUGGCCCACCAAGGCGACGAUCCGUAGCUGGUCUGAGAGGAUGAUCAGCCACACUGGAACUGAGACACGGUCCAGACUCCUACGGGAGGCAGCAGUGGGGAAUAUUGGACAAUGGGCGCAAGCCUGAUCCAGCCAUACCGCGUGGGUGAAGAAGGCCUUCGGGUUGUAAAGCCCUUUUGUGGGGAAAGAAAUCUUUCAGGCUAAUACCCUGGGAGGAUGACGGUACCCAAAGAAUAAGCACCGGCUAACUUCGUG
rnacentral:rRNA from 1 species